rnacentral:tRNA from 1 species
GGCUCUGUGGCGCAAUGGAUAGCGCAUUGGACUUCUAAUUCAAAGGCUGUGGGUUCGAGUCCCACCAGAGUCA